CAGGCUCUGUGUGGGGAGUGUAGGGAGACCCAGGCUCUGUGUGAGAAGUGUGAGGAGGCCUAGGCUCUGUGUGAGAAGUGUGGGGAGGCCUAGCCUCUGUGUGGGGAAGGCCCAGGCUCUGUGUGGGGAGGAGGAAGGCCCAGGCUCUGUGUGGGGAGGAUGAAGGUCCAGGCUCUGUGUGGGGAGCAGGAAGGCCCAGGCUUUGUGUGAGAAGUCUGGGGAGGCCCAGCCUCUGUGUGGGGAGUGUGGGGAGGCCCAGGCUCUGUGUGGCGACAAGGAAGGCCCAGCCUCUGUGUGUGGAGGAGGAAGGCCCAGCCUCUGCGUGGGGAGGAGGAAAGCCCAGGCUCUAUGUGGGGAAUGUGGGGAAGGCCCAGGCUCUGUGUGGGGAGUGUAAGGAGGCCCAGGCUCUGUGUGGGGAAGAGGAAGGCCCAGGCUCUGUGUGGGGAGGAGGAAGGUCCAGGCUCUGUGUGGCAAGGAGGAAGGCCCAGGCUCUGUGUGGAGAGGAGGGAGGCCCAGGCUCUGUGUGGGGAGUGUGGGGAGGCCCAGGUUUUGUUUGUGGAGGAGGAAGGCCCAGGCUCUGUGUGGGGAGUGUAGGGAGGCCCAGGCUCUGUGUGAGAAGUGUGGGGAGGCCUAGCCUCUGUGUGGGGAAGGCCCAGGCUCUGUGUGAGGAGUGUGGGGAAGGC
rnacentral:lncRNA from 1 species